AUACUUAGGGUGCAAGCGUUAAUCGGAAUUACUGGGCGUAAAGCGCUCGUAGGCGGCUUGUAAAGUCGGAUGUGAAAUCCCCGGGCUCAACCUGGGAACUGCAUUCGAUACUGGCAAGCUAGAGUAUAGUAGAGGCAAGUGGAAUUCCGGGUGUAGCGGUGAAAUGCGUAGAUAUCCGGAGGAACAUCAGUGGCGAAGGCGACUUGCUGGACUAAUACUGACGCUGAGGAGCGAAAGCGUGGGGAGCAAACAGGAUUAGAUACCCCUGUAGUCC
rnacentral:rRNA from 1 species